GGAAAGAGAGGGCAACCAAAGAAUCCCUGACAAAGCUCCCAUUUUGAUACUGAUUAAACAGGCUUUCAAGACGUUCAGAAAUAUUAGUGUCUGGGGGACAAAGGCUGAUUCCAAGAGCUCAAUCUAAAGCUAUUUCUACAGAAGCAUUCACCACAAAAGUGGCUGACUGAUUUGUGGGAGAAAAGACAAAUAGAGGAGACAGUUAAUGAUCCCAACUGUUAAGAAUGAUGUGAGGGUAGUUCCCCCACACUCUGAACCUGCUCAGCUCCUCCCUCUCUGCAGAGACGAUUAGAAGCAACAAUUAGAGGAGACUCAGAUUGAUCGCUGCACACUCUGCACACUGCACCUCCCGCCAGUGUUCUCGGCAUCCUCCCCAUCAAGCAGUUUGCAAGAGCUGCCAAGGAAAUCGCAGAAUGGAUCAGCUCAUUGCAUCUCACCUUCUCCUUCCUCAUCUCCUCCACCUUCUGGUUGGAUAGUUAAGGGGCAGCAAAAUGUUACAUAGUCAACAGUCAGCAGCUGUAAUGAUCAAAGGAGGCUUGUGGAUAACAGGCGAGGCUCUAGGGGCCUCAUAUGACUGUUCAUCCUUGGAGGACUGGCUUGUCUCACUCAGCAUAACAUCCCCGAGAUGCAUCCUUGAUGUGGCAUUCUCAACUUCAAGAAACUUAAUAACGGUGUCUGGUGGGACGGCUCCACAUCCAGCCAAUUGAACCUGAAUUUCUAUGUGAUGGGCCCAACAGUCACAUGUUCAAGCUGCUUGUUUCUCAGAUGCAGUGAGGUUGGAAAAUCGCUCCUCCAUGGAGUAACUUGGUAAAUUAAAAUUGAAGGCAGAGUCAACGUUUUGCUGAGAAAUUUAAAGCAAAGGCAUAAAUAAAGUUGCAAUAAUAUAGGAACA
rnacentral:lncRNA from 1 species